rnacentral:rRNA from 1 species
UACGUAGGGUCCGAGCGUUGUCCGGAAUUACUGGGCGUAAAGAGCUCGUAGGUGGUUUGUCGCGUUGUUCGUGAAAACUCACAGCUUAACUGUGGGCGUGCGGGCGAUACGGGCAGACUUGAGUACUGCAGGGGAGACUGGAAUUCCUGGUGUAGCGGUGGAAUGCGCAGAUAUCAGGAGGAACACCGGUGGCGAAGGCGGGUCUCUGGGCAGUAACUGACGCUCAGGUGCGAAAGCUAGGGGAGCGAACAGG